UUAAGCGACUAAGCGUACACGGUGGAUGCCCUGGCAGUCAGAGGCGAUGAAGGACGUGCUAAUCUGCGAUAAGCGUCGGUAAGGUGAUAUGAACCGUUAUAACCGGCGAUUUCCGAAUGGGGAAACCCAGUGUGUUUCGACACACUAUCAUUAACUGAAUCCAUAGGUUAAUGAGGCGAACCGGGGGAACUGAAACAUCUAAGUACCCCGAGGAAAAGAAAUCAACCGAGAUUCCCCCAGUAGCGGCGAGCGAACGGGGAGCAGCCCAGAGCCUGAAUCAGUGUGUGUGUUAGUGGAAGCGUCUGGAAAGGCGCGCGAUACAGGGUGACAGCCCCGUACACAAAAAUGCACAUGCUGUGAGCUCGAUGAGUAGGGCGGGACACGUGGUAUCCUGUCUGAAUAUGGGGGGACCAUCCUCCAAGGCUAAAUACUCCUGACUGACCGAUAGUGAACCAGUACCGUGAGGGAAAGGCGAAAAGAACCCCGGCGAGGGGAGUGAAAAAGAACCUGAAACCGUGUACGUACAAGCAGUGGGAGCACGCUUAGGCGUGUGACUGCGUACCUUUUGUAUAAUGGGUCAGCGACUUAUAUUCUGUAGCAAGGUUAACCGAAUAGGGGAGCCGAAGGGAAACCGAGUCUUAACUGGGCGUUAAGUUGCAGGGUAUAGACCCGAAACCCGGUGAUCUAGCCAUGGGCAGGUUGAAGGUUGGGUAACACUAACUGGAGGACCGAACCGACUAAUGUUGAAAAAUUAGCGGAUGACUUGUGGCUGGGGGUGAAAGGCCAAUCAAACCGGGAGAUAGCUGGUUCUCCCCGAAAGCUAUUUAGGUAGCGCCUCGUGAAUUCAUCUCCGGGGGUAGAGCACUGUUUCGGCAAGGGGGUCAUCCCGACUUACCAACCCGAUGCAAACUGCGAAUACCGGAGAAUGUUAUCACGGGAGACACACGGCGGGUGCUAACGUCCGUCGUGAAGAGGGAAACAACCCAGACCGCCAGCUAAGGUCCCAAAGUCAUGGUUAAGUGGGAAACGAUGUGGGAAGGCCCAGACAGCCAGGAUGUUGGCUUAGAAGCAGCCAUCAUUUAAAGAAAGCGUAAUAGCUCACUGGUCGAGUCGGCCUGCGCGGAAGAUGUAACGGGGCUAAACCAUGCACCGAAGCUGCGGCAGCGACACUAUGUGUUGUUGGGUAGGGGAGCGUUCUGUAAGCCUGUGAAGGUGUGCUGUGAGGCAUGCUGGAGGUAUCAGAAGUGCGAAUGCUGACAUAAGUAACGAUAAAGCGGGUGAAAAGCCCGCUCGCCGGAAGACCAAGGGUUCCUGUCCAACGUUAAUCGGGGCAGGGUGAGUCGACCCCUAAGGCGAGGCCGAAAGGCGUAGUCGAUGGGAAACAGGUUAAUAUUCCUGUACUUGGUGUUACUGCGAAGGGGGGACGGAGAAGGCUAUGUUGGCCGGGCGACGGUUGUCCCGGUUUAAGCGUGUAGGCUGGUUUUCCAGGCAAAUCCGGAAAAUCAAGGCUGAGGCGUGAUGACGAGGCACUACGGUGCUGAAGCAACAAAUGCCCUGCUUCCAGGAAAAGCCUCUAAGCAUCAGGUAACAUCAAAUCGUACCCCAAACCGACACAGGUGGUCAGGUAGAGAAUACCAAGGCGCUUGAGAGAACUCGGGUGAAGGAACUAGGCAAAAUGGUGCCGUAACUUCGGGAGAAGGCACGCUGAUAUGUAGGUGAAGUCCCUUGCGGAUGGAGCUGAAAUCAGUCGAAGAUACCAGCUGGCUGCAACUGUUUAUUAAAAACACAGCACUGUGCAAACACGAAAGUGGACGUAUACGGUGUGACGCCUGCCCGGUGCCGGAAGGUUAAUUGAUGGGGUCAGCGCAAGCGAAGCUCUUGAUCGAAGCCCCGGUAAACGGCGGCCGUAACUAUAACGGUCCUAAGGUAGCGAAAUUCCUUGUCGGGUAAGUUCCGACCUGCACGAAUGGCGUAAUGAUGGCCAGGCUGUCUCCACCCGAGACUCAGUGAAAUUGAACUCGCUGUGAAGAUGCAGUGUACCCGCGGCAAGACGGAAAGACCCCGUGAACCUUUACUAUAGCUUGACACUGAACAUUGAGCCUUGAUGUGUAGGAUAGGUGGGAGGCUUGGAAGUGUGGACGCCAGUCUGCAUGGAGCCGACCUUGAAAUACCACCCUUUAAUGUUUGAUGUUCUAACGUUGACCCGUAAUCCGGGUUGCGGACAGUGUCUGGUGGGUAGUUUGACUGGGGCGGUCUCCUCCUAAAGAGUAACGGAGGAGCACGAAGGUUGGCUAAUCCUGGUCGGACAUCAGGAGGUUAGUGCAAUGGCAUAAGCCAGCUUGACUGCGAGCGUGACGGCGCGAGCAGGUGCGAAAGCAGGUCAUAGUGAUCCGGUGGUUCUGAAUGGAAGGGCCAUCGCUCAACGGAUAAAAGGUACUCCGGGGAUAACAGGCUGAUACCGCCCAAGAGUUCAUAUCGACGGCGGUGUUUGGCACCUCGAUGUCGGCUCAUCACAUCCUGGGGCUGAAGUAGGUCCCAAGGGUAUGGCUGUUCGCCAUUUAAAGUGGUACGCGAGCUGGGUUUAGAACGUCGUGAGACAGUUCGGUCCCUAUCUGCCGUGGGCGCUGGAGAACUGAGGGGGGCUGCUCCUAGUACGAGAGGACCGGAGUGGACGCAUCACUGGUGUUCGGGUUGUCAUGCCAAUGGCACUGCCCGGUAGCUAAAUGCGGAAGAGAUAAGUGCUGAAAGCAUCUAAGCACGAAACUUGCCCCGAGAUGAGUUCUCCCUGACCCUUUAAGGGUCCUGAAGGAACGUUGAAGACGACGACGUUGAUAGGCCGGGUGUGUAAGCGCAGCGAUGCGUUGAGCUAACCGGUACUAAUGAACCGUGAGGCUUAACCUU
rnacentral:rRNA from 1 species